CGGAGAGACUUCCAGUGCCGUGUGCCUUAUAGCUCUCUACCCUAUUUAGCGAGACGACCGAAGUCAGUCGUGCUCGAGACGCGCGCGCCUUGCUGCUCCGAUGUCGAUCAUGUCUCAUGUGUGUUGUUUGUCCUCGCGCGGUCUCGUUGUCAUGCGUGCUUGAACCUUCGUAUAUCGUCAGGCGCUCUCUACUCCGUUCUGACUUUUAAUAUAUAUAUAGAUAGAUAUUAUACAUAUAACGUAUGUUGUGCGUACUGUUGUGUAUACACAAACUGGCAUAGUCAAGAGGACACAAACAUCGAGUACAGAGUCGUACAAGCAGCAGACGACCAUGGCAGAGCCAGCUAGGAUACCGGCUAAUGUGUCCCAGCAGUAUCUCAUGGACAACGAUGCCAACCAGAUGGCCAAUUCGACCACCAGUUCGUCUCUCGAUACAUCCGUCAAUAGCUAUGCGUCCCAGUCCAAUGGCAAGGAUAAACUUCGGCCGAGUGCGGCCGAUAACACUGAUGGAUCCUCCUUGAAAUCUGUCAAAACCAGCGAGUGGGUAGCCGUGUUUGUGCUCUGCUUUGUUAAUCUCAUCAAUUACAUGGAUAGAUUUACCAUAGCUGGUGUUCUUAGAUCUAUUCAAAGUGAUUUAAAAAUAGAUAAUAGUAAAUCUGGUUUACUUCAAACAGCAUUUAUUAUUAGUUAUAUGGUUUUUGCUCCAUUAUUUGGCUAUCUUGGUGAUCGAUAUAAUAGAAAAAUACUUAUGGCAGCAGGUGUAUUUUUAUGGUGCUUAACUACAUUUGUUGGCUCAUUUAUGGAGUCUUAUGGAUGGUUCCUAUUUUUCCGAGCACUCGUUGGGAUUGGAGAAGCAAGUUAUUCGACAAUUGCUCCAACAAUAAUUAGUGAUCUUUUCAUCAAAGAUGUGCGUUCGAAAAUGCUGGCAUUAUUUUAUUUUGCCAUUCCUGUUGGAAGCGGUUUAGGUUAUAUAACUGGUGGAGAAACUGCAAGAAUCACUGGUCAGUGGCAGUAUGGUUUGAGAAUUACACCAGUUUUAGGCAUUUUUGCCAUCAUAUUCAUUUUGACUCUAGUACGCGAUCCCAUUAGAGGUGAAAGAGAAGGAGGAUCUCAUAUGUCUGAAUCUAAUUGGUCCAUUGAUAUCAAAGCUUUGAUGAUAAACCGAAGUUUUAUGCUUUCCACGGCUGGCUUUACUUGUGUAUCGUUCGUGACCGGUGCUCUUGCAUUCUGGGGACCUGUAUUUAUUCAAAAUGGGCUAAAAUUGCAUGGUGACCAAAAUGACGUUUCUCUAGACGAAGUGUCUUAUAAAUUUGGCGUCACUGCGAUGAUCGCCGGCUUACUUGGAGUACCGUUUGGCUCGUUAUUAGCACAAAAGCUUAGAAUUCGUUGGCAGCAAGCUGAUCCACUUAUUUGCGCCGCCGGCCUGCUCAUUAGCGCUCCGCUCAUAUUUUUCGGUGCAAUUUUUGCUCGCUCCAACACCAUAGCUUGCUAUACAUUUAUAUUUUUCGGACAAUUAGCUCUCAAUCUCAAUUGGUCGAUCGUCGCCGACAUGCUGUUGUACGUUGUUCUGCCCACGCGAAGAUCGACCGCCGAGGCGUUUCAAAUUCUAUUUGCCCACGCUUUCGGUGACGCUGGUAGUCCUUAUUUGAUAGGUGUUAUUUCCGAUGCUUUGAAACACGCACUGCUGCCCACUCUGACAGCUGGUAUGACCAUAGCUUCCAAUUCUUCGACAACUGUUACGCCUACCGAUUCAGACGAAGAUCCAGAAGCGGCGUUCCGAAGUUUGCAAUACGCACUUUUUCUCACAAUUUUCGUCGAAGUUCUGGGUAGUUUAUUCUUUUUCCUCACUGCUCUAUAUAUUAAGAAAGACAAAGAUCGAGUCGAUCUUAUCAUUAAAGAAAAUAUUCUAGAUACUAGAAAAAAUGGCCUGGCUGAGUCGACGCGUUUAUAAAAAAAAUUAAUAAACCAAGACUUGCUGCGUAAUCGGAGAGAGAGAGAAAAAAAAAUAGUGAUAUUGCUGUACAUACGUUAUAAGUAAUGAAGCCACGUCAGAAUCUGAAACAUCGUGCGAAAUUGACGAGGAGCGAGGAUCGGGCAAUCGACUCAUUCGACCGGAUUGAGCGUCGG
rnacentral:misc_RNA from 1 species